rnacentral:rRNA from 1 species
UGCAUGAAGUCGGAAUUGCUAGUAAUCGCGGAUCAGCAUGCCGCGGUGAAUACGUUCCCGGGCCUUGUACACACCGCCCGUCACACCAUGGGAGCCGGUAAUACCCGAAGUCAGUAGUCCAACCUCGUGAGGACGCUGCCGAAGGUAGGAUUGGCGACUGGGGUGAAGUCGUAACAAGGUACC